UACGGAGGGUGCAAGCGUUGUCCGGAAUCACUGGGCGUAAAGGGCGCGUAGGCGGGAUGGCAAGUCAGUCGUGAAAUCUCUCGGCUCAACCGAGAAACGUCGGCUGAUACUGCCGUUCUUGAGGGAUGCAGAGGAGACUGGAAUUCCCGGUGUAGCGGUGAAAUGUGUAGAGAUCGGGAGGAACACCGGUGGCGAAGGCGGGUCUCUGGGCAUUUCCUGACGCUGAGGCGCGAAAGCGUGGGGAGCAAACGGG
rnacentral:rRNA from 1 species